rnacentral:rRNA from 1 species
UAAUACAUGCAAGUCGUACGCUUCUUUUUCCACCGGAGCUUGCUCCACCGGAAAAAGAAGAGUGGCGAACGGGUGAGUAACACGUGGGUAACCUGCCCAUCAGAAGGGGAUAACACUUGGAAACAGGUGCUAAUACCGUAUAACAAUCGAAACCGCAUGGUUUUGAUUUGAAAGGCGCUUUCGGGUGUCGCUGAUGGAUGGACCCGCGGUGCAUUAGCUAGUUGGUGAGGUAACGGCUCACCAAGGCCACGAUGCAUAGCCGACCUGAGAGGGUGAUCGGCCACAUUGGGACUGAGACACGGCCCAAACUCCUACGGGAGGCAGCAGUAGGGAAUCUUCGGCAAUGGACGAAAGUCUGACCGAGCAACGCCGCGUGAGUGAAGAAGGUUUUCGGAUCGUAAAACUCUGUUGUUAGAGAAGAACAAGGAUGAGAGUAACUGUUCAUCCCUUGACGGUAUCUAACCAGAAAGCCACGGCUAACUACGUGCCAGCAGCCGCGGUAAUACGUAGGUGGCAAGCGUUGUCCGGAUUUAUUGGGCGUAAAGCGAGCGCAGGCGGUUUCUUAAGUCUGAUGUGAAAGCCCCCGGCUCAACCGGGGAGGGUCAUUGGAAACUGGGAGACUUGAGUGCAGAAGAGGAGAGUGGAAUUCCAUGUGUAGCGGUGAAAUG